UCAAGCUAAUAAGGGCUAACGGUGGAUACCUAGGCACACGGAAGCGAAGAAGGACGUAGUUACCGACGAAACGCUUCGGGGAGCGGGAAGCAAGCAUUGAUCCGAAGAUAUCCGAAUGGGGCAACCCUAAACACGACCACCUGAAUACAUAGGGUGGAGCGAGCAAACCUGGUGAACUGAAACAUCUUAGUAGCCAGAGGAAAAGAAAGCAACAGCGAUUCCCCCAGUAGCGGCGAGCGAAAAGGGAACAGCCUAAACCAAGUUCUGCGGAACUUGGGGUCGUGGGACAGUGACAAAAGACUGGGAAAUUUAGACGAAGCGGCUGAAAACCGCACCAGAGAAGGUGAAAGUCCUGUAGUCGAAAAAGGCACCAGCUUAACUGCAUCCCGAGUAGCAUGGGGCACGUGAAAUCCCGUGUGAAUCUGCCUCGACCACGAGGUAAGGCUAAAUAUUCCCGUGUGACCGAUAGAGAAACAGUACCGCGAGGGAAAGGUGAAAAGAACCCCGGAAGGGGAGUGAAAUAGAACAUGAAACCGUUAGCCUACAAGCAAUGGGAGGACGAUUGAACGUCUGACCGUGUGCCUGUUGAAGAAUGAGCCGGCGACUUACAGGUUAUGGCAGGUGAAGGGGGAAGACCCCACAGCCCCAGCGAAAGCGAGUCUGAAGAGGGCGAAGCGUCAUAAUUUGUAGACCCGAACCCGGGUGAUCUAACCAUGGCCAGGAUGAAGCUUGGGUAAAACCAAGUGGAGGUCCGAACCGACUAAUGUUGAAAAAUUAGCGGAUGAGCUGUGGUUAGGGGUGAAAUGCCAAUCGAACUCGGAGCUAGCUGGUUCUCCCCGAAAUGUGUUGAGGCGCAGCGGUAGUGGAAGUUUAGUCGGGGUAAAGCACUGUUUCGCCGCGGGCUGGGAGACCGGUACCAAGGCGAGGCAAACUCUGAAUACGGCUAAAAAAACUACCAGUGAGACGGUGGGGGAUAAGCUUCAUCGUCAAGAGGGAAACAGCCCAGACCACCAGCUAAGGUCCCCAAAUGAUAACUAAGUGAGAAAGGAGGUGGGAGUGCAUGGACAACCAGGAGGUUUGCCUAGAAGCAGCAAUCCUUAAAAGAGUGCGUAAUAGCUCACUGGUCAAGCGCUCCUGCGCCGAAAAUGAACGGGGCUAAGUUAUCUACCGAAGCUGUGGACUACAUUGUAGUGGUAGGGGAGCGUUCUAUAGGGGGUGAAGCAGUAGCGGCAAGCAGCUGUGGACUCUAUAGAAGUGAGAAUGUCGGCUUAAGUAGCGAAAAUGUGGGUGAGAAUCCCACACCCCGAAACCCCAAGGUUUCCUCCGCAAGGCUCGUCCGCGGAGGGUCAGUCAGGACCUAAGGCGAGGCUGAAAAGCGUAGUCGAUGGACAACGGGUUAACAUUCCCGUACCGAUUAAUGAUUGUGCCGGAGAACGGAGAAGGUCAACGUCAGCUGGAUGUUGGUUACCAGUGCAAGCAGUCGAGGCGAUGAGAGGUGGUGAAAACACCUGGAGCUAAGACGCGAGUCCCACCUCCCACGGGAGGGAAGUGGCGCUGAUCAAGCUUCCUAGAAAAGCCCGAACCACGUUAAUCAUUAAUUGCCUGUACCCGAAACCGACACAGGUGGGGAAGUAGAGAAUACUAAGGGGCGCGAGAUAACUCUCUCUAAGGAACUCGGCAAAAUGACCCCGUAACUUCGGGAGAAGGGGUACCCUCGCAAGAGGGUCGCAGUGAAUAGGCCCAGGCGACUGUUUACCAAAAACACAGGUCUCCGCCAAGUCGUAAGACGCAGUAUGGAGGCUGACGCCUGCCCAGUGCCGGAAGGUUAAGGAAGUUGGUCAGGAGUAAUCUGAAGCUGACGACCGAAGCCCCGGUGAACGGCGGCCGUAACUAUAACGGUCCUAAGGUAGCGAAAUUCCUUGUCGGGUAAGUUCCGACCCGCACGAAAGGCGUAACGAUCUGGGCACUGUCUCGGAGAGAGACUCGGCGAAAUAGGAUUGUCUGUGAAGAUACGGACUACCUGCACCUGGACAGAAAGACCCUAUGAAGCUUUACUGUAGCCUGGCAUUGGCUUCGGGCUUCGCUUGCGCAGGAUAGGUGGGAAGCUUUGAAACUCUCCUCGUGGGGAGAGUGGAGCUAACGGUGAGAUACCACUCUGGCGAGGCUAGAAUUCUAACCCUGACCCCUCAUCGGGGCGGGAGACAGUUUCAGGUGGGCAGUUUGACUGGGGCGGUCGCCUCCUAAAAGGUAACGGAGGCGCGCAAAGGUUCCCUCGGUCCCGUUGGAAAUGGGACGAUAGAGUGCAAAAGCAGAAGGGAGCUUGACUGUGAGACCCACAAGUCGAACAGGGACGAAAGUCGGCUUUAGUGAUCCGACGGCACCGCGUGGAAGGGCCGUCGCUCAACGGAUAAAAGUUACUCUAGGGAUAACAGGCUGAUCUCCCCCAAGAGUUCACAUCGACGGGGAGGUUUGGCACCUCGAUGUCGGCUCAUCGCAACCUGGGGCUGAAGUCGGUCCCAAGGGUUGGGCUGUUCGCCCAUUAAAGCGGUACGUGAGCUGGGUUCAGAACGUCGUGAGACAGUUCGGUCCAUAUCCGGUGUAGGCGUAAGAGCAUUGCGAGGAGCCUUCCUUAGUACGAGAGGACCGGGAAGGACGCACCGCUGGUGUACCUGUUAUCGUGCCAACGGUAAACGCAGGGUAGCCAUGUGCGGAGCGGAUAACCGCUGAAAGCAUCUAAGUGGGAAGCCCACCUCCAGAUGAUUGCUCUCAUGGCAUUAAGCCAGUAAGGUCUCGGGUAGACUACCCGUUGAUAGGCUCUAGAUGGAAGCUCGGUAACGAGUGCAGUCGAGGAGUACUAACCGACCGAGGGCUUGACC
rnacentral:rRNA from 1 species